AUUAGUUUUAAAACAUUAAAUUGCAAAUUUAAAAUCCUAAACUAUAAAAUCAUA
rnacentral:tRNA from 1 species